UACGAAGGGUGCAAGCGUUACUCGGAAUUACUGGGCGUAAAGCGUGCGUAGGCGGUUCGUUAAGUCUGAUGUGAAAGCCCUGGGCUCAACCUGGGAAUGGCAUUGGAAACUGGCGACCUAGAGUGCGGUAGAGGGCAGUGGAAUUCCCGGUGUAGCAGUGAAAUGCGUAGAGAUCGGGAGGAACAUCUGUGGCGAAGGCGACUGCCUGGACCAGCACUGACACUGAGGCACGAAAGCGUGGGGAGCAAACAGG
rnacentral:rRNA from 1 species